AUCCGAGUUCUGAAGCAGGUGAAGAUGGAACUUGAAGAAAUGCAUCAGCAUUGCCAGGCAUUCGCUCCGCAUCUUAUUCCUGAGCCAAAUCAUAGUUGGUUUGAAACAUCACUGUCUUGUUCGCCUCUGCAUCUCAGAGGAUUAGCCACGUGAUUGGACUGGGUUGUAUACUCACAAUUCGGUCUAGCCAGGUCUCCUCCCCACCAUGAACAGAACUGCUCUUCUCAAG